rnacentral:lncRNA from 1 species
CUUUAAAAAUAGAUCAGUGUAUUUGGUAUUUCAAGUAGAUUUAUGACAUCAGGCUCAUUUAUAAAUUUAUAUAAAAUCACAAUACUUAAUCCAUGCAUACACAGUGACAGAUAAUGGGAGUUAUGUUUUUAAGGAGUCUUGAAAAGGCCUCUAAUAUGAUGAGUUUAAAAAGUAAUUCUCCUACACACCUAUCUCAAACUUUGCUAUAGUGCGGUCAGUGGUGGUCAGCAGACCACUGGUCUGGGGGUGUUGAAGUUAGGCCUUCUUAUACUUGCUCUUAUGCAGAGUUCAUGUAUUUGGCAGACCUUCAGUGGUGGACAUCUCUACCCUCAAUACAAUUUCUGGUGACUAAGGAGGGGAAGUUGUUUGAGCUGACUGAUGUUUUGGGGUCUAAAAUUACAUAGGGCUAAAGGAAUAACGUUUCUUACGUGGUUUUUAAAAUAAUAGUGCUUCUGGAAGUGGAAUUUCAAAAUUAUUUUAAGCAAUGGAAAUAAGGGAGCAUGCAUCACUUAGCUAAGUUGAUUACUUUAAUAAACAAUACUCAUUUGAGUGUACAUAUGACUUACUGUCAUACCUUAUUUAUAUCUGUUUGUUGUAACAUUUAUUCACAUAGUAUUCAUUCAUAUUACUGAGUGCCUACCUUGUGCCAGGCACUGCUCUAGGUGCCGAGAUAGAGCUGUGAACAAAACAGACAAAAUAGACAAAAUCUUUCCUCAUAAAUUUUACAUUCUAAUGUGAGAGAAGCAGUCUGACAAUUCUAAGUACCUAACUUAUAAAAAUAAAUGGCGAUUCAUUUCUUGGCUGCUCAAAAUUGAACAUUAUCUUGUCUAUUACAAAAUAUAUAGGUUCAUUGAUGUUCAAUUCUUUAGACUGUAGAUAGCUUGUGACAAAAAAAUUCUAUGAUAAAAUAUAUGGCAUAACUAUAUUAUUCUAUUUUCUAAUUUUAUCUAUGAUUAUAGAUAAGUAAAAGAAGAAAUCUUAAAUUUCUCGAAUAUCCAGACAGACAUAUACCAUGCAGUCGAAGUAGUUGAUUGCCCUUAGUUUGUCUUAACAAUUUAAUAUUUAGAAUGCCUGGUAGGUCUAUUAAUCAUUUUUAGAAAGUCAUCUUGGUUGAAGUUUUUCUGUACUAUUUUUGAUAAGGUUCUUGCAUAAUCCAAUCACAUGCUUCUUAACGCAUAAUAUUCAUUAGCUGCUUUAACUUGCAUUAUGAUUAUCCAGUUAGAAUCUUGUGCAUUGAUAAUCUUUUUAAUGAAAAGAAUAGUUCUGAACUGUAAAAAAUAUUCUUAGUUACACCCAAAAUAAUUGAUUUCAAACUUUGAAGGAGGAGUGUAGGUCAAAGGCAUAGUUUUAAUAAAUAUUGCCAAAAAAUAGUUUGGUCUUCAUCAUUCUAUUAUCAAGGGUAAAAGUAGAGAAAAGAGAUAAGCAUUUCAGAUGGAAUGACGUUGAAUAAAAUGACAUCAUUAUUUUCUAUAUCAUAUUUACAACACUAUACAUUCUAUACUGCGUUUACUCUUUUAUUAAGAUGUUGAGAGAUUUUAGUUCGGGGAGUGGCUUGAGGUAUGAAUCACAGUUACGAAUGUUAUGGGUGAAUUGUGUCUCCCCCACCCCUCACCCAUUUCAUAUAUUUAAGCCCCAAUCCCCAGUACCUCAGAAUGUGACUGUAUUUGGAGAUAAGGCCAUUAACGAGGUAAUUAAGACUAAAAUGAGGUCACAUGGGUAGGCCCUAAUCCAGUCCUACUGGAGUCCUUAUAAGAAAAGGAGAUUAGGACACAGACACACAGAGGGAAGACCAUGUGAAGACACAGGGAGAAGAUGGCCAUCUGCAAACCAAGUUGAGAGGCCUCCCAAGAAACCAACCCUGCCAACUCCUUGAUCUUGAACUUCCAGCCCCCAGGACUUUGAGAAAAUACAUUUCUAUUGGUUAAGCACCCAGUCUGUGGUACUUUGUUAUAGCAGCCUUAGCAAAUAAAUACAAUUAAUGUUUUAAAAAAGAAUUUGUGACUAGUUUCAGGAUUGCAUAUUUUUUAAUUUAAAAUAAAUUGGCACCAAAAAUGUACCUAUUUUUGUCAUAUUUUGCACUUUUGUUGAACUUUAUUUUGCCCCUGGGAUUUUUGGGCUAGCAAUAUAUAUUUUCUUCAUAGUCACAGGGUAGUUUUUCUGAAGAUCCUGUUACGUGAUGAUUUGUUGAAGUUCUUUUGAAUGUUUUCUGGUUUUCUUCAAAGGUAAAAUGAUAUUUGAAGUUUAGACCAGUUAGAUAAUAUUACAACAUUAAACAUGUUUUGGACUUUUUGUCAUCACCACCUCCUGAAUCUUCAGCAGCUAGUAAAAUCAAGGAAAGCAAUAUUAUUAGGAGUUAGUGGAUAUACAGUGUUUUUAUUCUAACAUUCCCAUGAUAGUAGUGUCAACUUUGUAGACUAAUUAGUCAUUUUAACCUAGCAAGUACUGUGGGUUUGACCAUGUAAAAACUUGAAUUAAUAUUCAGAGUUGGUCCAUUCAAAAAAUAAAAUCUGGGUUAGGUGCAGUGGCUCCUGCCUGUAAUCCCAGCACUUUGGGAGGCUGAGGCGGGUGGAUCCCUUGAGAUUAGGAGUGCAAGACCAGCCUGGUCAAUAUGGUGAAACCCUGUCUCUACUAAAAAUAUAAAAAUUAGCUGAGUGUGGUGGCAUGUGCCUGUAAUCCCAGCUACUCAGGAGGCUGAGGUGGGAGAAUCGCUUGAAUCUGGGAGGCACAGGUUGCAAUGAACUGAGAUCAUGCCAUUGCACUCCAGCCUGGGCGACAGAGU